rnacentral:rRNA from 1 species
CCUACGGGUGGCAGCAGUGGGGAAUAUUGGGCAAUGGGCGCAAGCCUGACCCAGCAACGCCGCGUGAAGGAAGAAGGCUUUCGGGUUGUAAACUUCUUUUCUCAGGGACGAAGCAAGUGACGGUACCUGAGGAAUAAGCCACGGCUAACUACGUGCCAGCAGCCGCGGUAAUACGUAGGUCGCAAGCGUUAUCCGGAUUUACUGGGGGUAAAGGGCGUGUAGGCGGGGACGCAAGUCAGAUGUGAAAACAACGGGCUCAACCUGUGGACUGCAUUUGAAACUGUGUUUCUUGAGGGCUGGAGAGGCAGACGGAAUUCCUAGUGUAGCGGUGAAAUGCGUAGAUAUUAGGAGGAACACCAGUGGCGAAGGCGGUUUGCUGGACAGCAACUGACGCUGAGGCGCGAAAGCGUGGGGAGCAAACAGGAUUAGAUACCCGUGUAGUC